rnacentral:rRNA from 1 species
UAAUACAGAGGGUGCGAGCGUUAAUCGGAAUUACUGGGCGUAAAGGGUGCGUAGGUGGUUAAUUAAGUCAGAUGUGAAAUCCCCGGGCUUAACCUGGGAAUUGCAUAUGAUACUGUUUAACUAGAGUGUGGAAGAGGGAAGUGGAAUUUCCGGUGUAGCGGUGAAAUGCGUAGAUAUCGGAAGGAACAUCAGUGGCGAAGGCGACUUCCUGGUCCAUUACUGACACUGAGGCACGAAAGCGUGGGGAGCAAACAGGAUUAGAUACCCUGGUAGUCCACGCUGUAAACGAUGAGAACUAGAUGUUAGAGGGCUUCGGCUUUUUAGUAUCGUAGCUAACGCGAUAAGUUCUCCGCCUGGGGAGUACGGCCGCAAGGUUA